CGGUCAGGGUGACGUUGCAGGGCUAUGGUCGGCUCUCUGUGAGCUCAACGUUUUGAUUUGCUCUCUAUGGUUUGUACCCUGAAUAAUCUAGAUAAUUGUAAAAUGUAGACGCGGUUUUGUAUUGAAUGAUUCAAGGAUUUUAGGUUUAAAGUUGUUGUGGGACGUACAUGGUAGUUUGGUUCUUUGUACGGUUUUGAGUGAUAUAACUUGUACACACUGGGUGCAUAAUAAUGUAAAGGUACACUGAAUAGUAGUAAUGACCAACAGCAACAAACAGAUCUCCUCAAGGUAAGUCUGUUGGCUGUGUUUUAAUGAAGACCAUCGCUGGACUUCAGGAUCUUCCUCCGUUCAGCUCAAGGUGAGGCGCUGGUUCUGUUUUUUCUUUGGUUGGUUCCGGCUGGAAUGUUCGGAUUCCAGUCGGACGGUUUGUGCUUCCCGCCGUGGAAGGUUUUGAGUGUGGUCACUUGAUUUAGUCCCAAUGGUUAGCAUAGAACGUUGUAGUAUUGACAACCAUAAGAAACCACCUGGCAGUUACUUGGACGGGAGUCCCCUGAGGGGAUCUUGCGGAACGUUCUGGAUUAUUUUUUUGCGUAAACUCGAGCCAUUGCCAACGGAAACUAUUUUUCAGUCGGUUUACAUUGGGAAUUGUGGCCCCUAUCUAAAACAACUUAAGGUUGAUAUUAAAUACAUACUGACACGUACGUCGUACAAUAUGUUGAUAAUUUCCGAUGGUUGCGCCGUACUUUUAACCACGAUGACGUGACGGGAAUCUCGUUGCGUACAAAACAGCGUUCUACUUGCGGCCCCAAUUUUGACAUCAGUGAAGGCUGAAAAUCAUUUCAAGUUGGAAGAUAAUUUGACAUUUCUUCAACGGAACCCAGCACCUGAAUAUGGCUGAGUAUAUUUGAUUUCAUAUCGAUGGCUUAGUGUUCUUUGUUACUUCAGCUUUUGUACGUUCUAAAUAUCUGCUGUCAUUAAUUGCCACAGAAGUUAAAACCUACCCAAUGGAAUGACGUUAAACAACGACUUUGGUGCAGAGUAACCAACUGGAUAAUAUCAAAGCUAAAAUAAUGUCCGUCCUUCCCACAUGUUACAGUAGAAGAUACUCUAGAACUGUACAAGGUUAAAAAGGUAACAUGUAGUUUGUCCCAAGGUGUCUGCCUCCUCACCCAGAGCAAGACCUCCACCUCCUCAACCAGAGCCAGACCUCCACCUACUGUCAGAAGUCCACCAGAACAGCUGAAAUGCGUGGCUGAGAGGCUGGGGACCGGAGGCUUGUGGUGCCAGGGUGGACCGGAGACUGAGGCUGGAGAUCAGGGGCCUGCAGCACCGGACCAGAGGGUGAUUUACUGCUGAGACCAACUGUGUUUGUAACCAGACCAGGAAUCCAUGGCUGAAGGAGCUGAUGGAGGAGCCGUGCUGAAGGAGCUGAUGGAGGAGCCGUGCUGAUGGAGGAGCCGUGCUGAUGGAGCUGAUGGAGGAGUCGUGCUGAAGGACCUGCCUGGUGGAGGAGCUGGUGGAGGCCCUGCCUGGUGAAGGACGUCUGUCGUGGGACCAGGACUCUGUCUGAGGAGAGCUGCUGGAGGAGCUGAGACGCUGGAGGACGACUAGGAAUCGAUCAACAAGGAUUCCUCAACGUGUUUCUGGAGCGGAGGCGAGCUUGUAGGGGAGCCGUGAAUCUGGAGGAUGACCAUCACUCUACCAACAAGGAUUACCAGGACUCUGGCUGAGGAGACCUGAUGGAGGAGCCAAGACUCUGGAGGACGACAUCACUCUACCAACAAGGAUCCUCAGACAAAUUACGUUUGUAACCAGACCAGGAAUCUGGAGGACUGAUGGAGAAGCUGUACAUCUGGAAGGCAAAUUCUGAGGACAACCAGGACUCUACCAUCAAGGAUUCCUCAUAAGUUUCCAUUAUCUGGACAUAGUGGACUAGACACACCUGAGCUGAACCUCACCUGAUCCUGUUUGGUCGGGGGUAGACACACCUGAGCUGAACCCGCCCUGAUCCUGACAUCCUGCUGCUCCCGUCUCCUCAGUUCAUCUGAGCCUCGUCCUCCAGAAGACCUGCUGAGCUCAGCAGUCUGAGGCUGGCGGAUCAAUGACCUCCAGUGGGAGUGAUCUUCUUGACCCCACAUGUAACUGUGUGCUUCCACACGCCUUUCCCUCACGUCUGUCACUAGUUCACUACUCUCUACUGCUUCCUCUUUUCUUCCUUCUCUGUGGUUCAAACCUUUACACUGAAGGCGUGUCUUCGUGCCCUCAGAGGGUUAAGCGUUAGGGUUGAGAGUCAGGGUUUAGAGUCAGGGACAGAGCUGGUCAGGGAGGACUGCUUUUACACAAACCUCUUCACUUGCUUUCGGAAUGGUGGUGACAUUUUGAAAAGAUUCAUUUGGGAAAAUGUUUUCCCUCUGCUUUCCUUUACAAAAGUGUAUUCAACUUCUGUCAAGUGUUUUUGUUUAUAUAUUAAAAUCCCACAUUGACUUCUA